UACGGGGGGGGGCAAGCGUUGUUCGGAAUUACUGGGCGUAAAGGGCUCGUAGGCGGCCAACUAAGUCGGAUGUGAAAUCCCCAGGCUUAACCUGGGAACUGCGUCCGAUACUGGCGGGCUUGAAUCCGGGAGAGGGAUGCGGAAUUCCAGGUGUAGCGGUGAAAUGCGUAGAUAUCAGGAGGAACACCGAUGGCGAAGGCAGCUCGCUGGGACGGUACUGACGCUGAGGCGCGAAAGCGUGGGGAGCGAACAGG
rnacentral:rRNA from 1 species